UACGUAGGGGCCUAGCGUUGUCCGGAAUUAUUGGGCGUAAAGAGCUCGUAGGCGGUUCGGCAAGUCGGAUGUGAAAUCUCCACGCUUAACGUGGAGGGGCCAUUCGAAACUGCUGUGACUCGAGUCCGGUAGGGGAGUGUGGAAUUCCCGGUGUAGCGGUGAAAUGCGUAGAUAUCGAGAGGAACACCUGCGGCGAAGGCGGGUUGCUGGGCUGACACUGACGCUGAAGCGCGAAAGCUAGGGGAGCGAACGGG
rnacentral:rRNA from 1 species